rnacentral:rRNA from 1 species
ACUCGGAAUCACUGGGCGUAAAGCGCAUGUAGGCGGACUUACAAGUCAGGUGUGAAAGCCUAUGGCUCAACCAUAGAACUGCACUUGAAACUGUAAGUCUAGAGUUCGGGAGAGGCAGAUGGAAUUUCCGGUGUAGGGGUAAAAUCCGUAGAGAUCGGAAGGAAUACCUAUUGCGAAGGCGAUCUGCUGGAACGCAACUGACGCUCAGAUGCGAAAGCGUGGGUAGCAAACAGGAUUAGAUACCCUGGUAGUCCACGCCCUAAACGAUGGGUGCUAGUCGUUAGAGAGCCAGUCUCUUUAGUGAUGCAGCUAACGCAUUAAGCACCCCGCCUGGGGAGUACGGUCGCAAGAUUAAAACUCAAAGGAAUAGACGGGGACCCGCACAAGCGGUGGAGCAUGUGGUUUAAUUCGAAGAUACGCGAAGAACCUUACCUGGGCUUGACAUCCUAAGAACUUUGUAGAGAUACAUUGGUGCUAGCUUGCUAGAACUUAGUGACAGGUGCUGCACGGCUGUCGUCAGCUCGUGUCGUGAGAUGUUGGGUUAAGUCCCGCAACGAGCGCAACCCCCGUCCUUAGUUGCUAACGGUUCGGCCGAGAACUCUAAGGAGACUGCCUUCGCAAGGAGGAGGAAGGUGGGGACGACGUCAAGUCAUCAUGGCCCUUAUGUCCAGGGCAACACACGUGCUACAAUGGGGUGUACAGAGAGAAGCAAUACUGCGAAGUGGAGCAAAUCUCUAAAGCAUCUCUUAGUUCGGAUUGCUCUCUGCAACUCGAGAGCAUGAAGCCGGAAUCGCUAGUAAUCGUGAGUCAGCUAUGUCACGGUGAAUACGUUCCCGGGUCUUGUACUCACCGCCCGUCACACCAUGGGAGUUGCAUUCACCCGAAGCCGGGAUGCUAAGAUAGCUACCGUCCACGGUGGGUGCAGCGACUGGG